rnacentral:rRNA from 1 species
GACGAACGCUAGCGGCGUGCUUAACACAUGCAAGUCGAACGGUGAAAGGGAGCUUGCUCCCUGGAUCAGUGGCGAACGGGUGAGUAACACGUGGGCAACCUGCCCCAGACUUCGGGAUAACGCUUCGAAAGGAGUGCUAAUACCGGAUACGAACUCCUUGGGCAUCCUUGGGGUUGGAAAGUUUUUCGGUCUGGGAUGGGCCCGCGGCCUAUCAGCUUGUUGGUGAGGUAACGGCUCACCAAGGCGACGACGGGUAGCCGGCCUGAGAGGGCGACCGGCCACACUGGGACUGAGACACGGCCCAGACUCCUACGGGAGGCAGCAGUGGGGAAUAUUGCGCAAUGGGCGAAAGCCUGACGCAGCAACGCCGCGUGAGGGAUGACGGCCUUCGGGUUGUAAACCUCUUUCAGCAGGGAAGAAGCGAAAGUGACGGUACCUGCAGAAGAAGCACCGGCUAACUACGUGCCAGCCGCCGCGGUAAAAC